AUAUAAUCAAGCAUUUGUUUCUGUGUUUGCAUGUGUCUAUCCAUCUUUUUACUUUGUGGUUAGUUCUAGACUCACUAUUCUGUAACAUUAGAUGAAUCUGCGUGUAUGCUGCUUUUGUUUUUUUAUUAGCAGAUUAAAUUUUAUUUCACAGUGUUUUGAAUUUGGUAGAAGCAAGAGAACAACUGGAUCAAAAAAUUACCAGUUUUCAAGGACAGAUUUGAUUUUGUUUGGAAAACCACAAGAUAUACAAGUUGGCUGAUGGCCACACAACAGCUUGCGACAUUGAGUCUUUGUUGUUCAUUUUGAAAAAGAAAAAGAAAAAGCUAAUUUCAAACCCUCAUGAACUUGGCUUGGACUCCCUAUUUUAUUUUUCUCUUUAUGCAGGUAAUUAAUCAUUUUAAAAUGAAAAUCCAGAGCCUUCUGUAUCUAUAUGUUACAGAUGAACAGCUAUUCUUCAUUUAAAGUGUGACUGUUUGUCCACAAGAGGAUUGGAAACUGUAUUAAAAUGUAUAGGAUUGUUACUUUGCAUUUCGUAUCAAGACAAAAUAUGACAAUUUAUUACAGAAAGUGGAAUAUUUAGCAUCUUAAAAAAUAUAAAUUAAUAAAUUAUACUCGUGAAAUUAUUGUACAAAUUAGUAUUGUUCUGGAAAUCUCCAUGAGUGCUCAGUGAGAAUUUCACUCUUCUAGAAAGACACAUCAGGCCCUUCCGGUCAUUGCCAGCACCCAGUCACCUAGGGCGCAGAGUCGGCGGACACCCCCACGGUCCAUAGAGGACUCUCCAUGAGAUCUUAGGAUCACUGGUGAAUGGAACACAACUUCUGUUCCAAUCCAAUCGUGCGAGACCUAAGACAGCAGAAGGGAAGCAGAAAAGCAGCCUGACCAGGGGCACAAGUCCCUUCAAUCUGUACCAGCAACCGGUCACCUAGGGGUCACCUAGGACACAGUCAGUGGACACCCCCACGGUCACUAGAGGACUCUGCACGCAAUCUUCCAUUCACUGGUGAGUGGAACACAACAUCUGUUCCUAUCCAAUAGCAAGGGACCUCAGACAGCAAAAGGGAAGCAGAAAAUCCUGACUGACCAAGGGCACUAGUCACUUCCGGUCAGCACCAGUACUAGGUCAUCUAGGGCACAGAAUUAGAGGACACCCCCACAGUCCCCAGAGGACUCUCCACAGGAUCUUAGGAUCAAUGACCAGACAGCUUUUUGGCCCUCAAAAGAGACACCACUUCCAGGCACUAUAAAGCAAAACGCCUAGGAUCUUAGGACAACAGGAUCCCAGGGUAACAGGAGCUGGGUCACACCAAUAUUUCAGGGUCUAAGAGGAAGCUUGAAUGCCAAAAAUUCUGACACACCCAGAAUCUCAGGUUCAUAGGAGCCCACAAUCAAAGGAUCACAGAGAAAGCUGGACUCUGAGGAGACCUUAAUCAACUGGGAUUAUAGGAAGGAAAGGCUCCAAUCAGAUAUGUUGAGGGUAGCAAGCACUUAUGAUAAACAUAUGGCAGGAGACAAGCCUAAGAACAGAAGCAACAGAAACCAAGGUUACUUGGCAUCAUCAAAACCAAACUCUCCCACCAUAGCAAGUCCUGGAUACACCAUCACACGAGAAAAGCAAGACAUGGAUCAAAAGUCACUUCUCUUGAUAAUGAUGGAGGACUUUAAGAAGGAAAUACAGGAAAACACAGGUAAACAGCUAGAAGCCCUUAAAGAGGAAACACAAAAAUCCCUUAGAGAGUUACAGGAAAACACUACCAAACAGGUGAUAGAAUUGAACAAAAUCAUCCAAGACCUAAAAAUAGAAGUUGAAAAAAUAAAGAAAACCCAAAGGGAGACAACUCUGGAGAUAGAAACCCUAGGGAAGAAAUCAGGAACCAUAGAGAUGAAAGAGAGAAUCUCAGGUGCAGAAGAUUCCAUAGAGAACAUUGGCACAACAAUCAAAGAAAAUGCAAAGUGCAAAAAGAUCCUAGCUCAAAACAUCCAGGAAAUCCAGGACACAAUGAGAAGACCAAACCUAUGGAUAAUAGGAGUAGAUUAGAAUGAAGAUUUUCAACUUAAAGGGCCAGUAAAUAUCUUUAACAAAAUUAUAGAAGAAAACUUCUCAUACAUAAAGAAAGAGAUGCUCAUGAACAUACAAGAAGCCUACAGAAUUCCAAAUAGACUGGACCAGAAAAGAAAUUCCUCUCGACACAUAAUAAUCACAACAACAAAUUCACUAAAUAAAGAGAGAAUAUUGAAAGCAGUAAGGGAAAAAGGUCAAGUAAAAUAUAAAGGCAGGGCUAUUAGAAUUACUCCAGACUUCUCACCAGAGACUACGAAAACCAGAAGAUCCUGGACAGAUGUUACAGACACUAAGAGAACACAAAUGCCAGCCCAGGCUACUCUACCCAGCGAAACUCUCAAUUACCAUAGAUGGAGAAACCAAAUUAUUCCAUGAGGAAACCAAAUUCACACAAUAUCAUUCCAGGAAUCCAGCACUUCAAAAGAUAAUAACAGAAAACACCAACACAAGGACAGAAACUAUGCCCUAGAAAAAGCAAGAAAGUAAUCCUUCAACAAACCUAAAAGAAGACAGCCACAAGUACAGAAUCACAACUCUAACAACAAAAAUAACAGGAAGCAACAAUUACUUUUCCUUAAUAUCUCUAAAUAUCAAUGGACUAAAUUCCCCAAUAAAAAGACAUAGACUAACAGACUGGCUACACAAACAGGAAACCCACCAAGGAAAAAGACAGACACUAUCUCUGAUUGAUUGAUUGAAGAAUGAUUCUGGAAACAGAAACUAAGCAGAGACACAUUGAAACUAACAGAAAUUAUGAAACAAAUUGAUUUAACAGAUACAUCCAGAACAUUUUAUCAUAAAACAAAAGAAUAUACCUUCUUCUCAGCACCUCAUGGUACCUUCUCCAAAUUGACCAUAUAAUUGGUCAAAAAACAGGCCUCUAAAGAUACAAAAAUAUUGAAAUUAUCCCAUGCAUCCUAUCAGAUCACCAUAGACUAAGGCUAAUCUUCAAUAACAACAUAAAUAAUAGAAAGCCAUCAUCCAUGUGGAAGCUGAACAACACUGCCCUCAAUGAUAACUUGAUCAAGGAAGAAAUAAAGAAAGAAAUUAAAGACUUUUUAGAAAAUGAAGCCACAACAUACCCACACUUAUGGGACACAAGGAAAGCAUUCCUAGGAGGAAAACUCAUAACUCUGAGUGCCUCCAAAAAGAAACUAGAGAGAGCAUACACUAGCAGCUUGACAUCACACCUAAAAGUUCUAGAACAAAAGGAAGCAAAUUCACCCAAGAGGAGUAAAUGGCAAGAAAUAAUCAAACUCAAGGCUGAAGUCAACCAAGUGGAAACAAGAAGAACUAUUCAAAGAAUCAACCAAACCUGGAGCUGGUUUUUGUGAGACUAUGCUGGGGCCUAGCAAAUACAGAAGUGGAUGCUCACAGUCAGCUAUUGGAUGGAACACAGGGCCCCCAAUGGAGGAACUAGAAAAAGUACCCAAGGAGCUGAAGGAGUCUUCAACCCUAUAGGUGGAACAACAAUAUGAACUAACCAGUACCCCCGGAGCUCGUGUCUCUAGCUGCAUAUGUAUCAGAAGAUGGCUUAGUAGGCUUUCACUGGGAAGAGAGGCCCCUUGUUCUUGCAAACUUUAUAUGCCCAAGUACAGAGGAAACACCAGGGCCAAGAAGUGAGAGUUGGUGGGUAGAGGAGCAGCGGGUGCGGGGCCGCGAGUAAGGUAUAGGGGACUUCUGGGAUAGCAUUUGAAAUAUAAAUGAAGUAAAUACCUAAUAAAAAAUUGGAAAAAAUAUGAAAAAUAGAAAAACACAGCAAAAUGAUCACAUAUAUGCUCUAUUUUUUACCUUUGAAGCCAUUGAACAAAGAGAUGUAAAACCUGGCUGGCAUGGGAGAUUAGAACCAAAUUCAGGUCCUAUGGUAGAACAACAAAUUCUCUUAAUCAACCACUGAAAACCCUUUCUAGGCCAUGGAUUCUGUCUUAAAAUGAACACCAUGUUCCCACAUAUAAUACAGGACUCUAAGAUAUUUCUAUCACUUGCCAAUAAACUUAUUUUUUUUCAGGUUACUAACCCUUUAUAUUCAGUAACUAUAGUGCAAAUAUGAUAGCACUUUACCUAAUGAACUAUAAUCUAGCUGUAAGAACUUUGAGUUUAAAAAAAAUGGACAACCCUUCCAUGUCCUGGCCUCUACCCAUAGUGCCAGAACUAUGGGUAAAAGCAGGGGCUCAUGAGUGCAGGUUGAAUCUUCACUAGUUCACCAAGUCAGACUGUGUCCAACAUCAUCCCAUGCUUACCCUUUCUCUUUGUCAGUAUUAACUCAAUGCUUAUUAUACCAUAUGUCAGACAUUGUCAGAUGUUAAACUACGAUGGUGCACACAUGGAAAACUCCAUUUUAAUAUACUUGCAGCCUGGCAUUUACAUGUUCUCUAUAUUACUCUACAUUUAGCAGAGAUUAUAUCAUAUUUCUUAACAUCUAUGUACCUAUCAAAUAUUCACCACCAACCCCAAUGUAUGCACUCAGCAUAUGUUUGUUAAGUCAUUGUCAAUCAGUAAUGCAAGCCCGGAAGUUCUCCAUCUAGGAGAAUAAGAAGUAGUAAGCAUUGCAUACGAUUAUUUCUCAAAAUUUUUCCAUGUAAAUAUUGUCUGUAAUUUAAGUCAUAUUGAAUCACCAUUUUAAAUUUUGCAUUUGAAAAAUACAGUCAAUUUAAGAUGUUAUAUCCAUACAUUCUAAUGUAAUUGUUUUGUUUUUAAACCUAGAAAAAAUAGCCCAUGAGAUGCCACAAUGGUGAUGCAAACUUGAAAUGCAUUGGUUUUCGGGCUAUAGCAGGAGCAUUACCAUAGGUUCCAGGACAACCUGAGUGACAUAGAAAAAUAUUUUUUUCAAAAAAAGGAAAAAAUUUUAAAAAAAUAAAUAAACGUUUUCCUGUGAAUGUAUUUGCCCUAUUUAUAGCUUCUGGAAGCCAACGGUUUUAUAAUGAAGUAUGUCUCCUUUGUCUCUCCUUUUUCUCUGACUCAGAAUAAAAUAGUGUAGGAAAACAAAAAAAGAUCUUUUUCUUUCUCUGCUGCAUGAUGUGUUGUUUAAUACACCUAUAAAAAGACAGAUUAAAAGAAGAGUAUAUAAAGUCAAUGAAUGUGGGACCUGUUAUAAGACCCUUCCAAAGGGGGGUAGUAUUUUUAUGAACAGUUACAUAGAAGUCUGAAGUAAAGCCAAUUGUGAUCAACCUGUAAAUUGCAAGGGUGAGAGAUGAGUUAGCAAGAUGUGGUGUUCAGAUACUUCUUAGUUUGUCUGUAUGACAUUCCUUACCUCAGAGUAGAGGGCAGAACACAUGCUAUAUGUCAGAAGACUUAAGAAGAUAAAGAGAAUGAUGUUUGUAACUUCUUUUUAUGGUGUGUUCGUGAGAUGAAGAGUUAGGUAAUUAUAGUUUCUGUGACCUGCUUCAGAAGGUUCUGCCUUUUGAGUUUACCUCUUCCAUCUCCAUCAGCUUAUAACACUCAUUCCUUCCUCCUACUAUGGCCUAAAUAUCUCUUUCCCAUCUGUUUUCUGUUAACCAAUAAUCUAUAUAAAGGGGUGGUUCCUUUUGGAAGUGAUUAGAUAUAAGAAUAAAAACAAUUCUUUGAUGGAGAAAAUUUGUUCUUCAAUGAAUCACUAGAGGAGAGAGAGAGAGAGAGAGAGAGAGAGAGAGAGAGAGACCACUUUGCUCUUUUGGGCCUCUAGCAUAGGAGGACACAUCAGUAAGGCACAAGCUACUACCACCUGACAUAAAUCUGGUGAUGCCUUCAUCCUGAAUUCUUAGCCUACAGAGCUAUGAGAACUUUCUCUUACUUAUAAGUUAUUCAAAGUUAUUCAUGUAUAAACUAAGGUUAACCUAAACAACCCAAUGUGCCAUGUUUGGAGUUAGAAUUUUUUGCAUCCCACAAAUGGGAAGAACAAAACCAAUAAAAUUAAGUUUAUAGGAUUAUAAACCAGAGAGUCAGGUAUGGUAGUAUCUGUGUCUGUAAUCCUAGCACUUGGGAGGUUGAGGAAGGAAGGUCAGAAAUCAUGGCCAGCCUAGGGUACAUGAAAUACUGUCUCAAAAAAAAAAAAAAAGCAAAAAAAAAAA